rnacentral:rRNA from 1 species
AAGGACAAACGAAAUUUUAACUGUAUCAAUUCCAUAAAACAUAAAUUAGACUUCAGGUGAAGAUACCUGAUUUUAUUUGAAAGACAAGAAGACCCUAUAGAGUUUUAGUACCCAACUUUACUCCCUAAAGCACCACUUUGGUUGGGGCGACCAAGGAUUACCCUAUUCAUCCUCCACAACUAAGAACUUAAAUCUUUUAUAGACCCUUUAUAAAGACUAUCAAAAUAAACUACCUUAGGGAUAACAGGCUUAUCUCCCUAAAAAGCUCACAUUGACAGGGAGGUUUGGCACCUCGAUGUUGGCUUAGAGUAACCUUUUA